AAUGAACGCUGGCGGCGUGCUUAACACAUGCAAGUCGAACGAUGAAGCCUAGCUUGCUAGGUGGAUUAGUGGCGCACGGGUGAGUAAUAUAUAGAUAAUGUGCCUCUUAGUCUGGGAUAGCCAUUGGAAACGAUGAUUAAUACUAGAUACUCCUUCUCAUUAUAAUUUGAGUCGGGAAAGUUUUUUCGCUAAGAGAUCAGUCUAUAUCCCAUCAGCUUGUUGGUAGUGUAAGAGACUACCAAGGCUAUGACGGGUAGCGGGUUUGAGAGGAUGAUCCGCCACACUGGUACUGAGACACGGACCAG
rnacentral:rRNA from 1 species